UCUCCGUAGGUGAACCUGCGGAGGGAUCAUUACAGAGUUCUCGCCCUCACGGGUAGAUCUCCCACCCACUGUUAUCGUUACUGUCGUUUCUUUGGCGGGCCGCCGGGUCCCCGGCCGCCGGCGCCUAGCUGCCGGCGCGCGCCCGCCAGAGGCCUUCAAACUCUGAAUGUUAGUGUCGUCUGAGUACUAUAUAAUAGUUAAAACUUUCGACAACGGAUCUCUUGGUUCUG
rnacentral:misc_RNA from 1 species